CUCCCUAACAAUUCAAAGCAUUCAUACUGUAUUAUCCUUUCUUCCAUAAACAGGUGACUUACAAGUAAGAAAAGAGCUAAAAAACAGAAGCUUGACUCAAGAUAGCUUUAAAAGCAAAAACAAUACUGUCAUCAUUGUAGAAGACUAAAAGAAAUGAAAACUAUUUCCUAGAAACUAAACAAAUGCAUCCAUAACAGGAAGUGAAUACAUGUCAGGGACACAGUAAAUUACUGUGCAAAUUGAGAAUAACACAGAAGCUUCCAUUUUGAGAUGAACCCUGAAGAGAAAAACAAUAAUAAUUAAGUUCCUGCUAACAAGGAUCCAGUCAUUCUUCUCUGCUCCAGCCUGAACCAUGAAGAUUUUGGCUACCUCUUUAUGCCAGUCUGCAAUGUGACCCAC
rnacentral:lncRNA from 1 species